CUACAAACCAGGAAAGAGCAGUGCAGCAACCAAAGCAGAAGCACCAGGAGGAACAAAUACUGCCCCAAGUGUCGAAGCCUUUGGCCCAGACGUAUUUCGCCACCACUACCAAAGAAACAGCAGUCACACCAAAGGAGCAAGACAGAUAGGAUCAAAAACUGUCGCUGGUGCCAGACUCAACAAAUGCCACCACCAAGGCAGAAGCCACAACAAAGGAGGACCC